GCGACCGAGGCGGGGAAAGAAGGGGGAGGCGAAACCAAGACCCUACGAACAGGAACCCGAUAAGAGGCGUAGUCGGAGAGGCGAGUCGGCAAAAAGCGACAGAGCCCACAAGGUAAGCCGACAGCGUAGAUUGGGAGGGCGCUUGGGGAAAGGC
rnacentral:ncRNA from 1 species